rnacentral:lncRNA from 1 species
UUCCAGAGGUUAUGUUCAUUCUAUGAAUGAUUAUUCCUGAUUUGUCAAGGGUCAACCUGGAUGUCUUGUGGUCGUAGUUGUGUAUGUAGACAUGAAUGAUUAUUCUUUAUUUGUCAAGGGUCAACCUGGAUGUCUUAUGGUCAUGGCUGUGUAUGUAGAUGACAUCAUUGUCACUGGGGAUGAUGUUACUGAGAUUUCUGCCCUCAAGGAUUUCAUGGAUGACCAAUUCAAAAUCAAGGACCUUGGUUCUUUGCACUAUUUUCUAGGUAUUGAGAUGUCCUAUAUUGUUGGUGGUGUUCUUCUUAGUCAGCACAAGUUUAUUUUUGAUUUGCUGCAUCAGUUUGAUUGUAUGGCUGUUUCCCCUGUAGUCUGUCCUUUGGACCUCAAUACUAAAUUGCAUGCUGACUCUGGUGAUCUUUUUCCUUCGCCUAACCAUUACAGGAGCUUGAUUGGCAAGCUCUUCUUCUUGACUAAUACCCGACCUGACAUAUGUUUUGCUGUGGAACAUUUAAGUCAGUUUUUGAAAGCUCCCAGAAUCCCUCACAUGUAUGCUGCUAUGCAUGUUCUAAGGUAUCUUAAGGGUUGUAUGGAUUUGGGGCUAUUCUAUUCUGACAAUCCAGAUUUUACUGUGACUGCUUUUUCAGACAGUGACUAGGCUGCUUGCCCUGA